rnacentral:rRNA from 1 species
AACGUACGCUGGCGGCACGCCUAACACAUGCAAGUCGAACGAAGUAGCAAUACUUAGUGGCAGACGGGUGAGUAACAUGUAGGUAUCUGCCCUUUGGCCUGGAAUAACACGAGGAAACUUGUGCUAAUACCGGAUAAGUCUUUACGGAGAAAGCUUUAUGCACCAUUGGAUGAGCCUGCACUUGAUUAGUUUGUUGGUGGGGUAAUGGCCUACCAAGACUGUGAUCAAUAGCUGAUUUGAGAGGAUGAUCAGCCACAUUGGGACUGAGACACGGCCCAAACUCCUACGGGAGGCAGCAGUGGGGAAUCUUGCACAAUGGAGGAAACUCUGACGCAGCGAUGCCGCGUGAGUGAAGAAGGCCCUUGGGUUGUAAAGCUCUUUCGUCGGGGAAGAAAAUGACUGUACCCGAAUAAGAAGGUCCGGCUAACUUCGUGCCAGCAGCCGCGGUAAUACGAAGGGACCUAGCGUAGUUCGGAAUUACUGGGCUUAAAGAGUUCGUAGGUGGUUGAAAAAGUUAGUGGUGAAAUCCCAGAGCUUAACUCUGGAGCUGCCAUUAAAACUUUUCAGCUAGAGUAUGAUAGAGGAAAGCAGAAUUUCUAGUGUAGAGGUGAAAUUCGUAGAUAUUAGAAAGAAUACCAAUUGCGAAGGCAGCUUUCUGGAUCAUUACUGACACUGAGGAACGAAAGCAUGGGUAGCGAAGAGGAUUAGAUACCCUCGUAGUCCAUGCCGUAAACGAUGUGUGUUAGACGUUGGAAAUUUAUUUUCAGUGUCGCAGGGAAACCGAUAAACACACCGCCUGGGGAGUACGACCGCAAGGUUAAAACUCAAAUGAAUUGACGGGGACCCGCACAAGUAGUGGAGCAUGUGGUUUAAUUCGAAGAUACGCGCAGAACCUUACCAACACUUGACAUGUUCGUCGCGACUCUAAGAGAUUAGAGUUUUCGGUUCGGCCGGACGAAACACAGGUGCUGCAUGGCUGUCGUCAGCUCGUGUCGUGAGAUGUUGGGUUAAGUCCCGCAACGAGCGCAACCCUCACUUUUAGUUGCCAUCAUUAAGUUGGGCACUCUGAAAGAACUGCCAGUGAUAAGCUGGAGGAAGGUGGGGAUGACGUCAAGUCCUCAUGGCCCUUACGUGUUGGGCUACACACGUGCUACAAUGGUAUCUACAACAGGAAGCAAGACUGCGAAGUUAAGCAAAUCCCUAAAAGAUACCUCAGUUCGGAUUGCACUCUGCAACUCGAGUGCAUGAAGCUGGAAUUACUAGUAAUCGUGGAUCAGCGUGCCACGGUGAAUGCGUUCCCGGGUCU